rnacentral:lncRNA from 10 species
CUCAGUUCACCGCAACCUCUACCUCCCGGGUUCAAGUGAUCUGCCCGCCUCGGCCUCCCAAAGUGCUGGGGUUACAGGUGUGAGCCCCUGCACCCGGUCCUGGUGGCACUUCUUACACAGGGUGCUGGUGGCUUAUUCAAUGUCUGUCUUCUGCAUUAGCUAUAAACUCUGGGAGGACUGGGACCCUGUCUCACCAUUGUUCAUUGUUAUAUCUGCAGGACGUUAGAGCUCAG